UGUAUGUGUGGCCUAGUGGUCAUGGCAUCUGCAUGGUAAGCGGAAGGUCGUGGGUUCGAUUCCCAUCCCUUGACAC